AUAAAUGUGCCUGAUUAAAGGGUUAAUUUGAUAGAUUAAAUUAAGUUAAAUUUUAUUUACU
rnacentral:tRNA from 1 species